rnacentral:rRNA from 1 species
UACGUAGGGUGCAAGCGUUAAUCGGAAUUACUGGGCGUAAAGCGUGCGCAGGCGGUUGUGCACGACCGAUGUGAAAUCCCCGGGCUUAACCUGGGAAUGGCAUUGGUGACUGCACGGCUAGAGUGUGUCAGAGGGGGGUAGAAUUCCACGUGUAGCAGUGAAAUGCGUAGAGAUGUGGAGGAAUACCGAUGGCGAAGGCAGCCCCCUGGGAUAACACUGACGCUCAUGCACGAAAGCGUGGGGAGCAAACAGG